UGGACCAUAGCUCAGUCGGCAGAGCGCAGAGCUGUUAACUCUGAUGUCCCAGGUUCGAGCCCUGGUGGUCCAG
rnacentral:tRNA from 1 species